rnacentral:lncRNA from 10 species
GGCCUCACAUCAUCCUGCUCCUGCCACUCUCUCCAGCCGCCUCCACUCCUCUCCCACCGCCAUGCUCUAAUGUGGGUCCAGCUCCCUAGGCCCAUCAGGGCAGGGACAAAGCUGAUUCUGAGCAGAUCUGGCACAAGGAAGUCACCAGAAAACACUAUUGGGUUCCUCAAGGGUAAAGACUGGAUCUUAUCCAUCUUGUUGCCCAUUCCUGCCUCUGCAAUCAUGUGCACUCUGGGAACUUGGAAAAUACAUUGUGGCAUCCAGUAUUAAAUC